GUGGGCAGGGACUCAUCCAGCUGUACCCUCCAGCGAGGGAGCACGGAGCAAUUUUCGGGGCACCUCUACCACCGGUCCUGGUUUCUGGGAGCUGCAGUCGGAAAAGUGAUAGUGCUCCUAGAGAUGCAGCGGGAAGAAGUGACAUGACAGCCAGGGAUCUGAUCACAGACGCCCAGAAAACAAGCGAGCAGAAGAGGCAGGCAAGUGGCCAGCGUGCAUCACUCAUCCUUGGGCACCAGCCAGGUCCCCCCCUUGCAGAGCUGAGCAGAUGUCUGAGCUCUAGGCAUGGGCUCUGCGCUUUGGCAAACGUUUGCAAUCGAGGGGGUUGCCUUGGAGAACUGAAAGAUGUCUUUGAUCCAUCAGCUUUUAGGUAUGCAUGGAUCUCUGAUCUGCAGUCCAGCCUUUGGAUGCAGAGCUGACUGAUAUAGGGACAGAGAGCCAGGGCUUGGCUGGUGUCCCAGGCCAGGGGUCAGUUCUUGAGAGUGGCUAAAUCCCUCCCGGAUCCAGAAAUGGACAGUCAGACACGGAUGGUGGCUUUCAUCCCAGAGUGAGCCUACGGACACCUAUAAGUGAUAAUGAAUGGGCUUCACACAUGGCAAAAUUAAUUUAGAGCCUCUGACACAAGCCCCUUGAGCUCCUGCUGACGCCCUGCAGCUGGAGGCUCAGCUCUGUGCGUUUUCCGUGACGGAGGAGCAGGACGGCUGUGAACAGUUUCUCUCCCUUCACUAACACCGCUGUGAUUGCCAUCAGGUCCUGGAGGGGUCUCACCUGGCUGGGUACAAGAUCAUCAAGGACUCCUGUUAACCAUGAGUUGCCUUCCACCCAAAGGCAUAGAGGAUGGCGCCAAUUCGACAUGGCUCCCGCUGCCCCAGGAACCCAGCUUUUGAGACACCACAAUGGGACCAGUGACAGUCUUCACUGCAGUGACCAGAAUCAGCCUGGCCGCGGGACGUGCUCGUCUCAUCCCUGCUGGCUCCCGCCGGCGCGCUGGGCUCCGCUGACCCACACGGAAGCUGAUCGCCGGUCUCGGAGGUGUGAGACCUCAUCCUUCCCUGGGAUUUCCGCAGACGCGUGGCCUGCCGCAGAGACGUUUCCCCGAGACCCUCGGUGGGCGGGAGCCGGGACGGCGGGGGGACCGUCGCCUGCUGCUCUGUGCCCGACCCUGCGCCGGGCGGGUGCUGUCACGCCAAAUGCCGACGCUGCCGCUUGUUAGCUGGGUUAAAGAGGCAGCUGAAUGCGUUAGUGCUUUGUCUGCCUCCAUCUCUCAGUAAUUUCCUUUCCCUGUCUCCUGCUGCUUUAUGUGUUAAUGCUUGUUACGUUCCCUGAGCAUCCCAGAAAUGCCUUAACCCAUCUCUUUCACAGAAAUGUAAUUAGGACAAAUGCUUUCUGCUUUUAUGUCUGCCAAAGGACUUGCUGAUUAUUAUGAUUCCUUAUCAGGUGUAUCCCAGCGGUCCCAGCUAAGGCUCCGGUUCCCUGGUGCCGGGCAGGGAAGAGAUGCUUGGUUAGGAGGCAGGCCCUGCCCAGAGGACAAAUGCUCGUGCUAGAAAAAGGCAGCGAUAGGGCAGACGGGCAAAGAGGCAUCGGANNNNNNNNNNNNNNNNNNNNNNNNAGGGGAAAAGAGGGAGCCCAGGGAACGUAACCAGCCGAACGGUACAGAGAUCCCUGUCUCGCUUUACUCACGCUGUGACGUGGCUAAAGACACCUACCAAAUCCUGUUAGGUUCCCUGCUUGAAAGUGAAAUUACAAAAUGAAUCACUUGAGCUCAUCCUCUUAUCUCUCGUUCAUAGGUGCGGGCGUGCAUGCAUCCAUACAUGCUUUCAAAGGAAGAAUAAUUAUCGUGGAGAUAAAGCUUUCAUUAUUUUUAAUAGCAUCAGGUCCACCCGUUGAGUUAUUACAGUAAUAAAAACUAAUUAGAUCCCUGGUGAUAUGUUCCC
ensembl:lncRNA